ACUGCCCACCUUCCUUACUGUUCUCCCUCUUCAACUGACACUGACUAUCGUCGGAGGAUCCUCCACCGGAGAACCCCUACCUUCUUCUCCAGCAUUUGCGGACCUUCCUUGUAGGUUCAUAGCGCUCCGAUCAUAGACCAACUACAACGUGGCAGCGGCUUGUGUCAUCUGAUCCAACCAUCUCAGCACGUCAUCCAGUCGGAGAUACACAGCAACAGAUAUGUUUGGCAAACUCCUGGUCA
rnacentral:lncRNA from 1 species